UACGUAGGGGGCUAGCGUUGUCCGGAAUCAUUGGGCGUAAAGCGCGGGCAGGCGGACUGACAAGUGGGGUGUGAAAGCGCUGGGCUAAACCGAGCGAGGCCAUUCCAGACUGUCAGACUGGAGGGCAGUAGAGGUGGGUAGAAUUCCGGGUGGAGUGGUGAAAUGCGUAGAGAUCCGGAGGAAUACCAGAGGCGAAGGCGGCCCACUGGGCUGCACCUGACGCUGAGCCGCGAAAGCCAGGGGAGCGAACGGG
rnacentral:rRNA from 1 species